rnacentral:rRNA from 1 species
AUUGAACGCUGGCGGCAUGCCUUACACAUGCAAGUCGAACGGUAACAGGUCUUCGGAUGCUGACGAGUGGCGAACGGGUGAGUAAUACAUCGGAACGUGCCCGAUCGUGGGGGAUAACGAGGCGAAAGCUUUGCUAAUACCGCAUACGAUCUACGGAUGAAAGCGGGGGAUCUUCGGACCUCGCGCGGACGGAGCGGCCGAUGGCGGAUUAGGUAGUUGGUGGGAUAAAAGCUUACCAAGCCGACGAUCUGUAGCUGGUCUGAGAGGAUGAUCAGCCACACUGGGACUGAGACACGGCCCAGACUCCUACGGGAGGCAGCAGUGGGGAAUUUUGGACAAUGGGCGAAAGCCUGAUCCAGCCAUGCCGCGUGCAAGAUGAAGGCCUUCGGGUUGUAAACUGCUUUUGUACGGAACGAAAAGCCUCUUUCUAAUAAAGAGGGGUCAUGACGGUACCGUAAGAAUAAGCACCGGCUAACUACGUG